CAUGAAUGAAACAUUUUAUUUUCAAAUUACACUUUAAUUAAAAUAUUUCUUCGUCAUAAAUAAACAACUGUUCUACUACCUCAAGUCAAGUUUGCUGGUUGUUCAGAUUUUUAAAGUCAUUGGGUGCAUUGUGGGAAAUUUUCAGAUUUUCUCUGCAUGCAUGUAGGCCUCCUAGCUAGCUGCUGCUGCUCGACAGGGCUAUCAAUCAACAAGCAUACAAAACAUGGCGACUCGUUGGAGGAUUAGGAAUACUGGAUAAUUUGCUUAUUCUACAAAGAAAAAUAAAUUUUCUUCAGAAUAACUGUACUGGAGAAACCCUAAAAAGUUGUCAUCAACUGCACUGCCACCUCUUUCGGAAGAUGAUCCAAUUAAUAUUGCUUUUAAAUAUUAAGAAAAACGUACUCGCACGAUGUUUUGCUGAUACAGUACUCUAUCAGCAUUCUCAAGUGAACUGUGAUGUAAUUACAGCUUAUAUAACUAAAGUUGCUGGAGAAAAAUUCUUGGUGUAACAGAAGGAUUUGAACUGAGGAACUUGAAAGGCAAGCAUGCUAAUCACUAGUAAAGUGAUCAUUUUGAAGUUUUCCCUAUACUGUAUGCAAUUAAUCAUGUAAUUAAAUUCAUCAAACUGGUAAAUAGUAAUAUCCAUGUUAUCAUUACUCUUUUAAUUGUAAAAAUAAUAAUAACAGCUGAUUAAAUUGAAUGAUGUUCAGGAUUUCAUAUUGAAUGUUAGUUUGAUCUGUUUCUGUAUUGUAUUUAAUUCAAGUUUAUUUAAAACUCCACAAAUAUUGUGGCUUGUGGGCCAAAUUGUAUGUAAAUUACAAGUUGAAAUUGUAUUAAAAAAAAAGCAGCAAUAUAAAAUGGACAUAAAAAUAGCAACAUAUACAGUAAAAAGAAACAGAAACAGUACAAUAAAACACCAAACUGAGAAGGGAUAGAUGCUAGAAAACAGGCCUAAUGACUGACCAGGUAACAAUAUGUAAAUCAAUAUAAACAUUAAGAAUUAUAAUAAGCAAUAACCAUCUUAAGGUAAACAAAAUAAAAAUGAAAAGGACAGCAAGUAUGGGAAAAGCAUUGUAAACAGAAUUUUUAUUAGGUAUUAUUAUUUUACUAUUAUUAUUAUUAAUAUUAUUAUUAUUAUUGCCAUAAACAUAGUUAAGAAAAGGAAGAAACAAGAGGAGAUGAAUUAGACGAUUUGGAGAGGAAAUGCCGUAGGAACACUGAUAAUGUAAAUUCUUUCAAUGCAGAUACUGUAAUUCCUGUAACGUUUCAUUUUAUAUCCAUAAUAAAUAACAAUAAAUUAUUCAUGGCCAGAAUCCUGUUCGAAACAACAUGAUAAUUUCAACUCUUGUACAAACCUAAAUGAAUGAUAUUCGUUCAUUAUACAAUGAUAAAUCAUGUGUACGUGUGUGUGUGUCUGUGUGCGUGCAUACGUAAUGAGAUGCAUGUGUAUUGCAGCGUGCAUAUGUUGUCGGGAAGUAUUUGGGAUGUGGUGUGUUAGUGUUCUAAUUUGGUUUCUGCCGUUUUUUGACAGUAAAACAAAAUGUAAUAUUGUUAAAAAAUAGUAUACUUGAUGCGGAUUGAAUUACUCAUAAAUUGUGUUUUAAGUAUGUUUUUGUGCGUUUAAAAAUUUGUAUUUUACUUAGUGUUUUUGUUUUUAUGUUUGUGCACUAAUGUGAACUACCUAAAAAUAAGCAAAAAAAAAAUGAUUGUCAAGGUUUUGGUCUGAUUAUGGUAAAAGGUCACCGACAAGAUGUAAGGCCAUUUGGACAUGCACUCUUUGCUUCUGCCAUAUUUUAUUUUCUUUGCUAAAGCUCUCAUAAUGACCAGCAUAAAAGUUGUAGUAUAACUGAUUAACUAUUAUAUAUUUUCGUUUUAAUUUUAAUAUUAAAAAGAUUUCACUUGUAAAAUCUGUUUUGUAAAGUAUAGUAUUAGUAUGUAU